UACGGGGGGGGCAAGCGUUGUUCGGAAUUACUGGGCGUAAAGGGCUCGUAGGUGGCCAACUAAGUCAGACGUGAAAUCCCUCGGCUUAACCGGGGAACUGCGUCUGAUACUGGAUGGCUUGAGUUCGGGAGAGGGAUGCGGAAUUCCAGGUGUAGCGGUGAAAUGCGUAGAUAUCAGGAGGAACACCGGUGGCGAAGGCGGGUCUCUGGGCCGAAACUGACGCUGAGGAGCGAAAGCGUGGGGAGCGAACAGG
rnacentral:rRNA from 1 species